GCCAGUAGUCAUAUCACCCUGCAACUGCCAACUGACAACCUACUAAAGCUAAGCAGGGGUGAGCCUGGUUAGUACCUGGAUGGAAGACAUACUGGGAAAAACUAAGGUUGCUGCUGGGA
rnacentral:rRNA from 1 species